UCCGGUUUGUCACCGGCAGUCUCCCUAGAGUUCCCGCCAUUACGCGCUGGCAACUAAGGACAAGGGUUGCGCUCGUUACGGGACUUAACCCAACAUCUCACGACACGAGCUGACGACAGCCAUGCAGCACCUGUCUCUCGGUUCCCGAAGGCACCAAUCCAUCUCUGGAAAGUUCCGAGGAUGUCAAGACCUGGUAAGGUUCUUCGCGUUGCAUCGAAUUAAACCACAUGCUCCACCGCUUGUGCGGGCCCCCGUCAAUUCAUUUGAGUUUUAACCUUGCGGCCGUACUCCCCAGGCGGUCUACUUAGUGCGUUAGCUGCGCCACCAAGAAAUCAAGUCUCCCAACGGCUAGUAGACAUCGUUUACGGCGUGGACUAC
rnacentral:misc_RNA from 1 species